UCGUCCGCUGUUUGUCGCUCAGGGACGGGGCGCCCUCGGCCCGGAACCUCCCGCCCCACAGCUCGGCAGGGAGCGAGGGGCCCGGAGCCGCUGUGCCCCGUCCCACCCCACAGGCGCAGCCCGGGAGGGUGAAAGAACUGGGGAGAGAAUGCGGCCUACGAAACACCGCACCGAGUGGGGAUUCUGAGCCAUAAAAGGGGCCCUGAGAGGAAUGCUGAUCUCCAUGGCAGCGAGAACUACCGCAGGAGAGCGGGGCCAGCCCCGGGCCCGAGCAGAGGGCACACGCAGGCAAAGAGAAGCGCUCGAGACCUUUACCACCACAAGGACCACUGCUAGGGGGCGUAGGGACAGAGGGCCCGGUACGUGUCACACAGGAGGACGUUCAUCCAUCUACUCCUUCAAAAGACAUUUCUACGCCCUUAAUGUACCUCUAGCAACAUGCACCUUAGGUAACGGCGAUUCCCCAAACCAUUUCAUGUCAUUCACUGCAAUGAGAGGGCAGUAUUCAUUUAAGACUUUAAGACUAGAAGAAUAAAUUGUGCAGAGCAGGAGAAUCCAGGAGCAGAGAAACACUGAGUUCAUGCAAAAAUGAGAGUACACAGCAGAUAUGCACAUGCUCACAGAACUGGUUAUACUAGCAUGCUGAAAUAAAGAUUGUCAAGCCUCGUCUCACCCCAGAUCACAUCCGAGUGAGCUGACCCUUACAGCAGAAACAAACCGGGUACGUAACAAGAGUUAAAGCUCGCGUUGUAAGUGAUGUCCCUGGCAAUUCUGUACCACCGGGGAAAGGGCCGAGUCCAACACCUGGAGCUCCCUCAAGCAAAGUGAGCAUCAGCACAGCCAGUUUGCUACAGAGAGCUGCACGUCAUUUGAGAGCAGCGAUGGAACUUAGGACAUCACUUGACCUUUCGGGCCCCGUCAAUUGCAGCAGAAAUGUAAGCAACUGAAAAUAAAGGAUGGUUUUUAUAAAGUGUA